GCAGACAGGGGAAUGGAAUGGCCUCUCACUUUGACAAGUAUCUGGUUUGGGAUUGUGUGUUGUUGGAAGCGACACUCCCACCCAAUAUACCCAUCUUUGUAAUCGGACCAUCUCCCCAGAUAAAGAUUCUAGUUACCUUCCACCACAAAAUGAUACAUGGUGGAUAUGCCUUGAUGGGCUUUCCCCUUGCUUGGCCACCGAAGCAUUUUUUACUGACAGUUCUGAUUUUUGUGUUUUGGUCCAACUUGUUCCUCAAUUAAUUUAUUAUCCCUCUGAGGAAAUUUUUCAUCUUUGGGAUCAGUCUCAUGACUCUUCCCUUGGCCUCUCUUGACAGUGGCGCGAGCCCAUCUCCGCCAUCACUAUUUCUGUUUUAUUGGGACUGGGAGCUGUGGUGCUGGGACAGGAAUUUCAUCACGUGUUCUUUCAAACAGCCGCUGCCAAGAAUUGAGUGCUACCAUUGAUGCUGAUGUUCAAUGCCUUCAACAGGGGUGGAUGACCUUACUGACUCCCUCUCCUCCCUCGCUGAAGUGGCCCUUCAGAAUCGUAGAGGCCUUGACCUGCUUUUCCUUCAACAAGGGGGGCUGUGUGCAGCCCUAAAGGAAGAAUGCUGUUUCUAUGUGGCUAAGACAGGUCUAGUCAAAGAAAGCAUGAAAAAAGGGGGAGGGGGAUGGGGGAGGGAAGGAGGCGAGAGCUGGCAUCACAAUUGGUUUUCCACCUCCCCUUGGCUGACCGCCCUUCUUCCCUCUUUGUUGGGACCCUUGGUUGGUCCUCUUUUGCUCAUAUCUUUUGGCCCAUGGGCCUUUAGUCACCUGACUAGCCUUAUUAAACAACAAGUAGAUGAUUGGGCAGUGAAACCUAUUCACAUGCAUUAUCAUAGAUUGGCUUUAGAGGAUUUAGGUAAAGAAGGCUCGGCUUCAACUCCCAUCUCCACCCAAUCCGAUCUGGGCAAUAUGGCUCUUGGGACUGCCUAAUGUUGGCCCUACUUGCAAAAAUAGCCUCCAUCACCUUUCAGCCUUGGCACUGACAUUGACUGUGAUUCUCUGUCCCCUGCUCAGUCCAUGCUGGGUAGAACGCCAAAGACGGGCAACUUUCGAGACCCCCAUUCACCUAAGACAGAAGCCCUGAAGGCUGACAGGGUAUUCAGUGACGGGUAAGACUGGUGGGCUCCUCGAUCGAUCCUAAGACAGGCACUACCCCAAAAGGAUAAGAGGGACUUCGUUCCCCGCUGAGCUACUUGCCAUCUUGGAGUGCUAAUAUCAGGGGCCUUUCAUCCAUACCAAUCUGGUGGUCAGCGUUGCUCAGUAACAAGGCUUGCCAGAAGUGUUGAUAUAAAUUUGGUGGUCCAACAGGUUUUUGUUGAGAGCUAGUUUCAUACAGACCUAGGGCUGGUGACCUUUGCAAAAGAAUCAGCUUCCUACAGACCCCUACAGCCCCAGGUCUUGUGACCUUUUGCUGAAAGCCAAUUUCCUACAGACCCACGGAUUGUGACCUUCUGCUAGGGGCCAACUUCCUACAAGGAACCUAGGCCAACAUCCUGCAGGAGUGAGCUAACUACCCUAUUGGUUAGAACAUCAAGGUCUCCCGCCCCCUGAAGACUUCCUCCUCCCCCUGCCUUGUUACUGUAUAUAAUCAGAGCCUGUAAGCAUUAAACUUGUCGCCUUGAUCAGA
rnacentral:lncRNA from 1 species